rnacentral:rRNA from 1 species
CAGCAGCCGCGGGAAUACGGAGGGUGCAAGCGUUACUCGGAAUCACUGGGCGUAAAGGACGCGUAGGCGGAUUAUCAAGUCUCUUGUGAAAUCUAACGGCUUAACCGUUAAACUGCUUGGGAAACUGAUAAUCUAGAGUAAGGGAGAGGCAGAUGGAAUUCUUGGUGUAGGGGUAAAAUCCGUAGAUAUCAAGAAGAAUACCUAUUGCGAAGGCGAUCUGCUGGAACUUAACUGACGCUAAUGCGUGAAAGCGUGGGGAGCAAACAGGAUUAGAUACCCGAGUAGUCCCUGUCUCUUAUAC